CCCUUAGAUGUUCUGGGCCGCACGCGUGCUACACUGAGUGGAUCAGCGGGUCAGGUUACGCGAGAGCGUUUCCUAAUCUUCAAAUCCGCUCGUGAUGGGGAUUGACGGUUGCAAUUUUCCGUCAUGAACGAGGAAUACCUUGUAAGCGCGGGUCAUCAUCCCGCGCUGAAUACGUCCCUGCCCUUUGUACACACCGCCCGUCGCUCCUACCGAUUGAGUGGUCCAGUGAGGCUUUGGGAUCUAAGCGAAAAGAGCGUUUCGCUCCUUUUGCUGGGAGAACUCAGUCGAACCUUAUCAUUUAGAGGAAGGAGAAGUCGUAACA
rnacentral:rRNA from 1 species